rnacentral:tRNA from 1 species
UAGAUACUAGUAAAAUUAUAAUAUAACUUUGUCAAAGUUAAGUUACAGGAUUAUACCCUGUGUAUCUUA